GCUGGCACCACCCAGAUCCAUAAAUUGGCUCAUCUGAUCUUGUGGCCCCCAUCCAUCUGUGUUCUUGUGGAAUUCACCCAGAAUCACCAGUGAUUUUUAGUAUAAAUACGGCAGAGCUGGAAACCUGGAAAAUAGAACAAAAUGAAUGGAUUGGUUAUCCUACCGCUGAAGCAAUCAAAACAGCACAACUUGGGAAGAGAAAAUUUAGGGUUCACAAUUGUUUUUAGUUCUGUAAUUAAGCCAAUCAUUCGAACACAAAUAUGUUAUUUAAAAAUAAAAACCAUUUCCCUAGCUUUUA